GCGGGGGAGCUUGUGCGUGAAACAGGCUGAGAGUAGAUUGCGUAUCUUAACCCUUAUAACCUGAUGGAUAAUGCCAGCGUAGGAAGUUGUCGGUA
rnacentral:ncRNA from 1 species